rnacentral:rRNA from 1 species
AAUAGAUACCCGGGUAGUCCACGCCGUAAACGAUGAGUGCUAAGUGUUAGAGGGUUUCCGCCCUUUAGUGCUGCAGCUAACGCAUUAAGCACUCCGCCUGGGGAGUACGGCCGCAAGGCUGAAACUCAAAGGAAUUGACGGGGGCCCGCACAAGCGGUGGAGCAUGUGGUUUAAUUCGAAGCAACGCAAAGAACCUUACCAGGUCUUGACAUCCUCUGUCAACCCUAGAGAUAGGGCGUUCCCCUUCGGGGGACAGAGUGACAGGUGGUGCAUGGUUGUCGUCAGCUCGUGUCGUGAGAUGUUGGGUUAAGUCCCGCAACGAGCGCAACCCUUGAUCUUAGUUGCCAGCAUUCAGUUGGGCACUCUAAGGUGACUGCCGGUGACAAACCGGAGGAAGGUGGGGAUGACGUCAAAUCAUCAUGCCCCUUAUGACCUGGGCUACACACGUGCUACAAUGGAUGGUACAAAGAGCUGCGAACCCGCGAGGGUAAGCGAAUCUCAUAAAGCCAUUCUCAGUUCGGAUUGUAGG